GUUUUGAAGAGUAAUAAGAAAAUGUGGGAGGAAUGCUUGCCUCAUAUUGAAUUUGCUUAUAAUCGUUCAUUGCAUUCUACUACUAAGAUGUGCCCUUUUGAAGUUGUGUAUGGUUUCCUACCUCGUGCACCUAUUGAUUUGUUGCCUCUUCCAUCUUCGGAGAAGGUUAAUUUUGAUGCUAAACAACGUGCUGAAUUGAUUUUAAAAAUGCAUGAGUUAACUAAGAAAAACAUUGAGCGUAUGAAUGCUAAAUAUAAACUUGCUGGAGAUAAGGGUAGAAAACAUGUUGUGUUUGCACCUGGAGAUCUUGUUUGGUUACAUUUGCGUAAGGAUAGAUUUCCUGAUUUGCGCAAAUCAAAGCUAAUGCCACGUGCUGAUGGUCCCUUUAAGGUGUUAGAGAAAAUAAAUGAUAAUGCAUAUAAACUUGAGCUGCCUGCAGAUUUUGGGGUUAGUCCCACUUUUAACAUUGCAGAUUUGAAGCCUUAUUUGGGUGAGGAAGAUGAGUUUCCGUCGAGGACGACUUCAUUUCAAGAAGGGGAGGAUGAUGAGGACAUCAAUACCAUUGUUACACCC
rnacentral:rRNA from 1 species